AUUGAACGCUGGCGGCAUGCUUUACACAUGCAAGUCGAACGGUAACAGGCCGCAAGGUGCUGACGAGUGGCGAAUGGGUGAGUAAUGCAUCGGAACGUGCCCAGUCGUGGGGGAUAACGCAGCGAAAGCUGCGCUAAUACCGCAUACGAUCUGUGGAUGAAAGCGGGGGACCGAAAGGCCUCGCGCGAUUGGAGCGGCCGAUGUCAGAUUAGGUAGUUGGUGGGGUAAAGGCCCACCAAGCCAACGAUCUGUAGCUGGUCUGAGAGGACGACCAGCCACACUGGGACUGAGACACGGCCCAGACUCCUACGGGAGGCAGCAGUGGGGAAUUUUGGACAAUGGGCGCAAGCCUGAUCCAGCAAUGCCGCGUGCAGGAAGAAGGCCUUCGGGUUGUAAACUGCUUUUGUACGGAACGAAACGGCUCUGGUUAAUACCUGGGGCUAAUGACGGUACCGUAAGAAUAAGCACCGGCUAACUACGUGCCAGCCGCCGCGGUAACAC
rnacentral:rRNA from 1 species